AUUGAACGCUGGCGGCAGGCUUAACACAUGCAAGUCGAGCGGGGGAAGGUAGCUUGCUACCGGACCUAGCGGCGGACGGGUGAGUAAUGCUUAGGAAUCUGCCUAUUAGUGGGGGACAACAUCUCGAAAGGGAUGCUAAUACCGCAUACGUCCUACGGGAGAAAGCAGGGGAUCUUCGGACCUUGCGCUAAUAGAUGAGCCUAAGCCGGAUUAGCUAGUUGGUGGGGUAAAGGCCUACCAAGGCGACGAUCUGUAGCGGGUAUGAGAGGAUGAUCCGCCACACUGGGACUGAGACACGGCCCAGACUCCUACGGGAGGCAGCAGUGGGGAAUAUUGGACAAUGGGGGGAACCCUGAUCCAGCCAUGCCGCGUGUGUGAAGAAGGCCUUAUGGUUGUAAAGCACUUUAAGCGAGGAGGAGGCUACUUUAGUUAAUACCUAGAGAUAGUGGACGUUACUCGCAGAAUAAGCACCGGCUAACUCUGUGCCAGCAGCCGCAGUAA
rnacentral:rRNA from 1 species